rnacentral:rRNA from 1 species
ACGGGAGGCAGCAGUGGGGAAUAUUGCACAAUGGGGGAAACCCUGAUGCAGCAACGCCGCGUGAGUGAUGAAGUAUUUCGGUAUGUAAAGCUCUAUCAGCAGGGAAGAUAAUGACGGUACCUGACUAAGAAGCUCCGGCUAAAUACGUGCCAGCAGCCGCGGUAAUACGUAUGGAGCAAGCGUUAUCCGGAUUUACUGGGUGUAAAGGGUGCGUAGGCGGUAUGGCAAGUCAGAUGUGAAAGACCGGGGCUCAACUCCGGGGCUGCAUUUGAAACUGCCAGACUGGAGUACAGGAGAGGCAGGCGGAAUUCCUAGUGUAGCGGUGAAAUGCGUAGAUAUUAGGAGGAACACCAGUGGCGAAGGCGGCUUACUGGACGAUAACUGACGCUGAGGCUCGAAAGCGUGGGGAGCAAACAGGAUUAGAUACCCUGGUA